rnacentral:misc_RNA from 1 species
GAAGAAUAUACUAAAGGGUAAAUCUUUUUAACUGAAUUGUUAUUAUUCCGAGUUGGUGGGAGAGCCGGUUGUAGAGAAUUCAAGGUAGAGGAGAAGGAGGUGAGCAGUGAAGAAGACAAACGAAGUGAGUGAAAAGACGUUGAUUGAAAAACAUCAGCCAUUUAGAAAUUGAUUGAAAGAAGAGGGCAAAAAAAUAUUUCUCAAAUUGCAGACUAGCAGAAGAAAUUGAACUACACGAGGUCAAAAGCACAGAAGAAAAGCCAUAGAUGGAGGAAGAGGAAGUGAGGUCAGAUGGAGUUGUCCUGGGUGCGUGAUUAAGAGAAGUCUCUGGCUGCCUCCUCUCCUUCCCGUGUUUCUGUGAACCAGAUCGUACGCAGAAGAUACUUCCACACUUGUAUAUCUGUUGGUUUCGGCGGCUGUUGCGGCAUUG